AGCAGCCGCGGUAAUUCCAGCUCCAAUAGCGUAUAUUAAAGUUGUUGCAGUUAAAAAGCUCGUAGUUGAAUUUCGGGGUCAAUAAGUUGGUCAUGCCAAUGGUAUGCACUGGCUUUAUUGAUUCCUACCUCUUGACGAACUGUGAUGCCAUUAAUUUGGUGUUGCAGGGAAUCAGGACUGUUACCUUGAAAAAAUUAGAGUGUUUAAAGCAAGCUUACGCUUGAAUACAUUAGCAUGGAAUAAUGAAAUAGGACGUUUGAUCCUAUUUUGUUGGUUUCUAGGAUCGACGUAAUGAUUAAUAGGGAUAGUUGGGGGCAUUAGUAUUCAAUUGUCAGAGGUGAAAUUCUUGGAUUUAUUGAAGACUAACUACUGCGAAAGCAUUUGCCAAGGAUGUUUUCAUUAAUCAAGAACGAAAGUUAGGGGAUCGAAGACGAUCAGAUACCGUCGUAGUCUUAACCAUAAACUAUGCCGACUAGGGAUCGGAUGAUGUUAAUUUUUAAUGUACUCAUUC
rnacentral:rRNA from 1 species